CACGUGGGUAACCUACCUAUAAGGACUGGGAUAACUUCGGGAAACCGGAGCUAAUACCGGAUAACAUUUGGAACCGCAUGGUUCUAAAGUGAAAGAUGGUUUUGCUAUCACUUAUAGAUGGACCCGCGCCGUAUUAGCUAGUUGGUAAGGUAACAGCUUACCAAGGCCACAAUACAUAACCGACCUGAGAGGGUGAUCGGCCACACUGGAACUGAUACACGGUCCAGACUCCUACAGGAGGCAACAGUAGGGAAUCUUCCGCAAUGGGCGAAAGCCUGACGGAACAACGCCCCGUGAGUGAUGAAGGGUUUCGGAUCGUAAAACUCUGUUAUUAGGGAAGAACAAAUGUGUAAGUAACUGUGCGCAUCUUGACGGUACCUAAUCACAAAGCCACGGCUAACUACGUGCCAGCAGCCGCGGUAAUACGUAGGUGGCAAGCGUUAUCCGGAAUUAUUGGGCGUAAAGCGCGCGUAGGCGGUUUCUUAAGUCUGAUGUGAAAGCCCACGGCUCAACCGUGGAGGGUCAUUGGAAACUGGAAAAGUUGAGUGCAGAACAGGAAAGUGGAAUUCCAUGUGUAGCGGUGAAAUGCGCACAGAUAUGGGAGGAACACCAGUGGGCGAAGGCGACUUUCUGGGUCUGUAACUGACG
rnacentral:rRNA from 1 species